AUGGAAACACCAGCUCCUCCUGAAUGUAUGACCUGCUUGGGUGACGCAUACAGGGUUUCUUGGAUGGAAGACAGUGAAACUCACAAUCUACAGAAGGAAACCAUCAAGCAGCAGUACGAGGUGGUUAAAGCAAGAACGGCACCCCCAAAUGACUCCAUUAUCGGUUCUCAUGUCAUGGAGUAUGGUAAAAAGACAUUCAAGGAUGACAAGCUUUUCCUUUAUCAAGGUUUCUAUCCUGUGAAGUCAAUGAUUGUUGUGCAUGCGUGCUAUGCAUAUGAUUCGUAUUUGUGGAUUUUGACAUCAAUAGUUUAUCCAGAAGAAAUAUUGUAA
rnacentral:rRNA from 1 species